GACGAACGCUGGCGGCGUGCUUAACACAUGCAAGUCGAACGGAAAGGCCCUGCUUUUGUGGGGUGCUCGAGUGGCGAACGGGUGAGUAACGCGUGAGUAACCUGCCCUUGACUUUGGGAUAACUUCAGGAAACUGGGGCUAAUACCGGAUAGGAGCUCCUGCUGCAUGGUGGGGGUUGGAAAGUUUCGGCGGUUGGGGAUGGACUCGCGGCUUAUCAGCUUGUUGGUGGGGUAGUGGCUUACCAAGGCUUUGACGGGUAGCCGGCCUGAGAGGGUGACCGGCCACAUUGGGACUGAGAUACGGCCCAGACUCCUACGGGAGGCAGCAGUGGGGAAUAUUGCACAAUGGGCGGAAGCCUGAUGCAGCAACGCCGCGUGCGGGAUGACGGCCUUCGGGUUGUAAACCGCUUUCGCCUGUGACGAAGCGUGAGUGACGGUAAUGGGUAAAGAAGCGCCGGCUAACUACGUG
rnacentral:rRNA from 1 species